rnacentral:tRNA from 2 species
GCGAGCGUGGUGGAAUCGGUAGACACGCCAGACUUAAAAUCUGUUGUCCUUAUGGACGUGGGGGUUCAAGUCCCCCCGCUCGCACCA